GACGAACGCUGGCGGCGUGCUUAACACAUGCAAGUCGAACGGAAAGGCCCUGCUUUUGUGGGGUGCUCGAGUGGCGAACGGGUGAGUAACACGUGAGUAACCUGCCCUUGACUUUGGGAUAACUUCAGGAAACUGGGGCUAAUACCGGAUAGGAGCUCCUGCUGCAUGGUGGGGGUUGGAAAGUUUCGGCGGUUGGGGAUGGACUCGCGGCUUAUCAGCUUGUUUGUGGGGUAGUGGCUUACCAAGGCUUUGACGGGUAGCCGGCCUGAGAGGGUGACCGGCCACAAGGGGACUGAGAGACGGCCCAGACUCCUACGGGAGGCAGCGGGGGGGAAUAUUGCACAAUGGGCGGAAGCCAGAUGCAGCAACGCCGCGUGCGGGAUGACGGCCUUCGGGUUGUAAACCGCUUUCGCCUGUGACGAAGCGUGAGUGACGGUAAUGGGUAAAGAAGCACCGGCUAACUACGUG
rnacentral:rRNA from 1 species